rnacentral:rRNA from 1 species
CACGAACCCGACAAACGUUAUUCGGAAUUAUUGGGCUUAAAGGGUGCGUAGGCGGUGCGGUAAGUGCGGUGUGAAAGCCCACGGCUCAACCGUGGAAUUGCGCUGCAUACUGCCGUGCUGGAGGAAGACAGGGGUAAGCGGAACUGAUGGUGGAGCGGUGAAAUGCGUUGAUAUCAUCAGGAACACCGGUGGCGAAAGCGGCUUACUGGGUCUUUUCUGACGCUGAGGCACGAAAGCUAGGGUAGCGAACGGG